rnacentral:snRNA from 1 species
AAACUUACCUGGCGGGGGAGACACCAUGAUCACAAAGGUAGUUCUCCCAGGGCGAGGUAGUUCAUCCAUUGCACUCCAGAUGUGCUGACCCCUGUGAUUUCCCCAAAUGACUUAUUGGAGAAAUGCAAAUUAGAAACUAUAAGAUGUCACUACAUAACUGUC